rnacentral:rRNA from 1 species
GGUGGAGCAUGUGGUUUAAUUCGAUGCAACGCGAAGAACCUUACCAAGGCUUGACAUAUACCGGAAACGUUCAGAAAUGUUCGCCCCGCAAGGUCGGUAUACAGGUGGUGCAUGGUUGUCGUCAGCUCGUGUCGUGAGAUGUUGGGUUAAGUCCCGCAACGAGCGCAACCCUCGUCGUAUGUUGCCAGCACGUAAUGGUGGGAACUCAUAUGAGACUGCCGGGGUCAACUCGGAGGAAGGUGGGGAUGACGUCAAAUCAUCAUGCCCCUUAUGUCUUGGGCUUCACGCAUGCUACAAUGGCUGGUACAAUGGGCUGCAAUACCGCGAGGUGGAGCGAAUCCCAAAAAGCCAGUCUCAGUUCGGAUUGGGGUCUGCAACUCGACCCCANNAAGUC